rnacentral:rRNA from 1 species
UACGGGGGUGGCAAGCGUUGUUCGGAAUUACUGGGCGUAAAGAGCGCGCAGGCGGUCGAUCAAGUCGAGUGUGAAAGCCCCCGGCUCAACUGGGGAGGGUCAUUCGAUACUGAUCGACUCGAAGGCAGGAGAGGGUAGUGGAAUUCCCGGUGUAGUGGUGAAAUGCGUAGAUAUCGGGAGGAACACCAGUGGCGAAGGCGACUACCUGGCCUGUUCUUGACGCUGAGGCGCGAAAGCUAGGGGAGCAAACGGG